rnacentral:rRNA from 1 species
UACGUAGGGCGCAAGCGUUGUCCGGAAUUAUUGGGCGUAAAGAGCUCGUAGGCGGUUUGUCGCGUCUGACUGUGAAAACGCGAGGCUUAACCGUCGCGCCUGCAGUGGGUACGGGCAGACUAGAGUUGCGGUAGGGGAGACUGGAAGUUCCGUGGGUGAUGAGCGGUGGAAUGAGCGCAGAUAUCGAGGAGGAACACCGGUGGGCGAAGGCGGGCUCUGG